UGCUAUAUUUGAAAUUACAUUAGAUUGCAAGAACAAAGAUGCCCUUUUGAUGCUCUGUAGCAGCACUGGAGAUAAUGAAAGGAGAGGAAUCUCGAUAAGGAUGAAAGAUAGCUUCCUUCAGCCUCCCCUCGCUGAUAAAGUGCUUCCCAGAUGAAGAGAAUUUAGAAUAAAAAGCAGCACAAAAGUAAAACAAAGUAAACACAGCCCGGCGUUGCUCUAACAAGAUAAAAUUACACCGUGGAGAGGAGACCAACAGGACAAUAAAGAGAAGCGUUCAGGGGAACGGGGAGAAGGACAGCACGAAUUCGAGACAGGGGAGCAGAGAUCCCCAGAGCAACUACGAGGGGAAGAGCAGCUGGGAGAGAUGUGGAAGGUGUGAAGUUUGGGUACCCACAUCCCUCAAUGCCCCUUUUGCUGAAAAGGGGAGCUCCAGGAGGCAGCAAUGCUGCGAUCACCUCCUUCAUAGGAAGGGAAAGGUGCUGAUUUUCUACGGCUGCUGCCAUUAAUUGGGUUUUAACGUGAUGCAGCUGCUGGCAGGGGCAUAAAGGGGGCUGCAGAGGGCUGGAGCAGGCAGCUGGGUCUUGCAGAAGGCUGUGGGCAGGCUCUGAGCCCUGUGCCAAUGGGUCAGCCACCCCAUGGGGUCUGGGCACGAUGCAGGAUCUGCCCCUGUGCAUCCCCACCUUUCCCCUAAAGCACAGGUUUGAUGCAGGGUUUUGGGGUGCACACCCAGCUGAGGCCUCGUGCUGGCUCUUUGCUGUGCUUUGAGGCUCAAUGUUGAUUUUUGGCCCCUUGGUGCCCUUUUUGGGCCCCAGCUGCUCUCAGCCAUCGCCGGCUGCGAUCGGUGCGGCACUCAGCUCCCUCGGCUUCGAAGGACGCAGCGUGUGGUCCGCUCCGCCGCUGCCAUGGCAACGCUGGGAUGCAAAACCAUGGUUUAAAACCCAAAACAAAUAAAUCCUCCACACCACAAAGCCCAAAGCAUCCUUCUCGCCUUGCUUUCCCCGGCCCAUUUUGUUUUCCCCUCUUGGGACCCGACGAGGAGCUGGUGCUGCCAGGCAAUGACUGCGGUGUCCUGGGUUCCUCGUGUGCCCGUCUCCCGAGGCCAUGUCUUGGGCAGACACUGCUCCAGGCAGGAUUUAAACCUGUUCCUACCCAGGUCUGAAAUCCGUUCUUGGUUGCUUCGUGCCCAGAGAGAGCAACCUCUCAAUUCCUUCACACCCAGUUGCAAAGACCUUGGCAAACCCCCUGCAUCCAAAGCAAGGCACUGAGAGAAACGAAUCCCACAGCAAGGGGCUGAAAACUCCUCCAGAGAGAGCUGCCUGCCUCCUCCAGCACCCAUCACCCAGCCCUGUCCUCCGGUCGCUAUUAAAGGCUUUCAGCCCAGGCACGGAGUGGAAUGAAGCUGUCGAAACCUUUCUGCAGUGAUGUUCCAGAGCCGGCUUUCCGAAGCCCCUGAGUGCCAAGAAGCAUAUAGAGAUACAGAGGGAAUAAACAGCAGAAAGUGCCUAAACA
rnacentral:lncRNA from 1 species